rnacentral:sRNA from 1 species
GCCGGGUGUGGUGGCAUGCGCCUGUAAUCCCAGCUACUUGGGAGGCUGAGGGAGAAGAAUCGCUUGAACCCUGCAGGUGGAGGUUGCAGUGAGCCAAGAUCAUGCCACUGCACUCCAGCCUGGGUGAAAGAGUGAGACUCUUUUUUUUUUUUUUUUUUUGAGACAGAGUCUCAUUCUGUCACCCAGGCUGGAGUGCAGUAGCGUGAUCUCGGCUCACUGCAACCUCUGCCUCCCCGGUUCAAGUGAUUCCCCUGCCUCA